rnacentral:rRNA from 1 species
GAUGAACGCUGGCGGCGUGCCUAAUACAUGCAAGUCGAGCGAACAGACGAGGAGCUUGCUCCUCUGACGUUAGCGGCGGACGGGUGAGUAACACGUGGAUAACCUACCUAUAAGACUGGGAUAACUUCGGGAAACCGGAGCUAAUACCGGAUAAUAUAUUGAACCGCAUGGUUCAAUAGUGAAAGACGGUUUUGCUGUCACUUAUAGAUGGAUCCGCGCCGCAUUAGCUAGUUGGUAAGGUAACGGCUUACCAAGGCGACGAUGCGUAGCCGACCUGAGAGGGUGAUCGGCCACACUGGAACUGAGACACGGUCCAGACUCCUACGGGAGGCAGCAGUAGGGAAUCUUCCGCAAUGGGCGAAAGCCUGACGGAGCAACGCCGCGUGAGUGAUGAAGGUCUUCGGAUCGUAAAACUCUGUUAUUAGGGAAGAACAAAUGUGUAAGUAACUAUGCACGUCUUGACGGUACCUAAUCUGAAAGCCGCGGCUAACUACGUG